UAAUACGAAGGGGGCGAGCGUUAUUCGGAAUCACUGGGCGUAAAGCGUGCGUAGGCUGCUUUGUAAGUUAGGAGUGAAAGCCCAGGGCUCAACCCUGGAAUUGCUCUUAAGACUGCAAGGCUCGAAUCUCGGAGAGGAUAGCGGAAUUGUCAGUGUAGCAGUGAAAUGCGUAGAUAUUGACAGGAACACCAGUGGCGCAAGCGGCUAUCUGGACGAGUAUUGACGCUGAGGCACGAAAGCGUGGGGAGCAAACAGG
rnacentral:rRNA from 1 species